UGAAGAUACCAGUCCAGUCACGUCAGCUCUGAUAAUUUCGGGGUGUGACAGAGAUUUACGCAGGUUGUACGAAUCACGGGUGGUUAUCACGAGGAAUAGAGCUCGAAGAGCGAGUCACAAGCUAGAUUGUACGGGAAUAACUGAAUAUGUAUUAUUAGUAAUCAGGGCUUAUGCUUUAUUUUUUUUUUGUAAAAGUUACAUAUUAAAACGUACUUUCAAGUAAGUCAUGACGUUAAUAAUGAAAGAAAUUUUAUGGCACGGGUU